rnacentral:tRNA from 1 species
GGGUGCAUAGCUCAGUUGGUAGAGCAGCUGACUCUUAAUCAGCGGGUCGCAGGUUCGAGUCCUGCUGCACCCACCA